rnacentral:rRNA from 1 species
UGGGGAAUAUUGCACAAUGGGCGCAAGCCUGAUGCAGCCAUGCCGCGUGUGUGAAGAAGGCCUUCGGGUUGUAAAGCACUUUCAGCGAGGAGGAAGGUGGUGAGCUUAAUACGCUCAUCAAUUGACGUUACUCGCAGAAGAAGCACCGGCUAACUCCGUGCCAGCAGCCGCGGUAAUACGGAGGGUGCAAGCGUUAAUCGGAAUUACUGGGCGUAAAGCGCACGCAGGCGGUUUGUUAAGUCAGAUGUGAAAUCCCCGGGCUCAACCUGGGAACUGCAUUUGAAACUGGCAAGCUAGAGUCUCGUAGAGGGGGGUAGAAUUCCAGGUGUAGCGGUGAAAUGCGUAGAGAUCUGGAGGAAUACCGGUGGCGAAGGCGGCCCCCCUGGACGAAGACUGACGCUCAGGUGCGAAG